AACGAACGCUGGCGGCAGGCUUAACACAUGCAAGUCGAACGCUCCGCAAGGAGAGUGGCAGACGGGUGAGUAACACGUGGGAACGUACCCUUUACUACGGAACAACUCCGGGAAACUGGAGCUAAUACCGUAUGUGCCCUUUGGGGGAAAGAUUUAUCGGUAAAGGAUCGGCCCGCGUUGGAUUAGCUAGUUGGUGGGGUAAAGGCCUACCAAGGCGACGAUCCAUAGCUGGUCUGAGAGGAUGAUCAGCCACAUUGGGACUGAGACACGGCCCAAACUCCUACGGGAGGCAGCAGUGGGGAAUAUUGGACAAUGGGCGCAAGCCUGAUCCAGCCAUGCCGCGUGUGUGAUGAAGGCCUUAGGGUUGUAAAGCACUUUCACCGGAGAAGAUAAUGACGGUAUCCGGAGAAGAAGCCCCGGCUAACUUCGUGCCAGCCGCCGCCGUAAAAC
rnacentral:rRNA from 1 species